rnacentral:rRNA from 1 species
AGUGAACGCUGGCGGUAGGCCUAACACAUGCAAGUCGAACGGCAGCACAGUAAGAGCUUGCUCUUACGGGUGGCGAGUGGCGGACGGGUGAGGAAUACGUCGGAAUCUACUUUUUCGUGGGGGAUAACGUAGGGAAACUUACGCUAAUACCGCAUACGACCUACGGGUGAAAGCAGGGGAUCUUCGGACCUUGCGUGAUUGAAUGAGCCGAUGUCGGAUUAGCUAGUUGGCGGGGUAAAGGCCCACCAAGGCGACGAUCCGUAGCUGGUCUGAGAGGAUGAUCAGCCACACUGGAACUGAGACACGGUCCAGACUCCUACGGGAGGCAGCAGUGGGGAAUAUUGGACAAUGGGCGCAAGCCUGAUCCAGCCAUACCGCGUGGGUGAAGAAGGCCUUCGGGUUGUAAAGCCCUUUUGUUGGGAAAGAAAAGCAGCAGGUUAAUACCCCGCUGUUCUGACGGUACCCAAAGAAUAAGCACCGGCUAACUUCGUG